UCCUACGGGAGGCAGCAGUGGGGAAUUUUCCGCAAUGGGCGAAAGCCUGACGGAGCAAUACCGCGUGAGGGAAGACUGCCUAUGGGUUGUAAACCUCUUUUUUCAGGGAGGAAUCAAUGACGUGUACCUGAAGAAUAAGCAUCGGCUAACUCCGUGCCAGCAGCCGCGGUAAGGCGGAGGAUGCAAGUGUUAUCCGGAAUCACUGGGCGUAAAGCGUCUGUAGGUGGUUUAAUAAGUCAACUGUUAAAUCUUGAGGCUCAACUUCAAAAUCGCAGUCGAAACUAUUAGACUAGAGUAUAGUAGAGGUAAAGGGAAUUUCCAGUGGAGCGGUGAAAUGCGUAGAUAUUGGAAAGAACACCGAUGGCGAAAGCACUUUACUGGGCUAUUACUAACACUCAGAGACGAAAGCUAGGGUAGCAAAUGGGAUUAGAUACCCCAGUAGUCCUAGCCGUAAACAAUGGAUACUAGAUGUUGAACAGAUCGACCUGUGCAGUAUCAAAGCUAACGCGUUAAGUAUCCCGCCUGGGAAGUAUGCUCGCAAGAGUGAAACUCA
rnacentral:rRNA from 1 species